rnacentral:rRNA from 1 species
AUACAGGGGGUGCGAGCGUUAAUCGGAAUUACUGGGCGUAAAGCGUACGUAGGCGGUUGGUUGAGUUAGAUGUGAAAGCCCCGGGCUUAACCUGGGAACUGCAUUUAAAACUGGCGAACUAGAGUUGAGUAGAGGGGAGUGGAAUUUCAGGUGUAGCGGUGAAAUGCGUAGAGAUCUGAAGGAACACCAGUGGCGAAGGCGACUCCCUGGACUCGAACUGACGCUGAGGUACGAAAGCGUGGGUAGCAAACGGGAUUAGAAACCCUAGUAGUCC